rnacentral:rRNA from 1 species
UACGUAGGGUGCAAGCGUUGUCCGGAAUUAUUGGGCGUAAAGAGCUCGUAGGCGGUCUGUCGCGUCUGCUGUGAAAACUCAGGGCUUAACCCUGAGCUUGCAGUGGGUACGGGCAGACUAGAGUGCGGUAGGGGAGACUGGAAUUCCUGGUGUAGCGGUGAAAUGCGCAGAUAUCAGGAGGAACACCGGUGGCGAAGGCGGGUCGCUGGGACGGUACUGACGCUGAGACGCGAAAGCGUGGGGAGCAAACAGG